rnacentral:rRNA from 1 species
UGAGUAACCUGCCCUUCACUCUGGGAUAACUCCGGGAAACCGGGGCUAAUACUGGAUAUGACUCGAACAGGCAUCUGUUUCGGGUGGAAAGAUUUAUUGGUGGAGGAUUGACUCUCGGCCUAUCAGCUUGUUGGUGAGGUAAUGGCUCACCAAGGCGACGACGGGUAGCCGGCCUGAGAGGGCGAUCGGCCACACUGGGACUGAGACACGGCCCAGACUCCGUACGGGAGCA